GAUGAACGCUGGCGGCGUGCCUAAUACAUGCAAGUCGAGCGAACGGACGAGAAGCUUGCUCCUCUGAUGUUAGCGGCGGACGGGUGAGUAACACGUGGAUAACCUACCUAUAAGACUGGGAUAACUUCGGGAAACCGUAGCUAAUACCGGAUAAUAUUUUGAACCGCAUGGUUCAAAAGUGAAAGACGGUCUUGCUGUCACUUAUAGAUGGAUCCGCGCUGCAUUAGCUAGUUGGUAAGGUAACGGCUUACCAAGGCAACGAUGCAUAGCCGACCUGAGAGGGUGAUCGGCCACACUGGAACUGAGACACGGUCCAGACUCCUACGGGAGGCAGCAGUAGGGAAUCUUCCGCAAUGGGCGAAAGCCUGACGGAGCAACGCCGCGUGAGUGAUGAAGGUCUUCGGAUCGUAAAGCUCUGUUAUUAGGGAAGAACAUAUGUGUAAGUAACUGUGCACAUCUUGACGGUACCUAAUCAGAAAGCCACGGCUAACUACGUG
rnacentral:rRNA from 1 species